rnacentral:rRNA from 1 species
AGAAUCAACGCUGGCGGCGUGCCUAACACAUGCAAGUCGAACGCGAAAGCCCCGCAAGGGGUUAGUAGAGUGGCAAACGGGUGAGUAACACGUAGGUAAUUUGCCUUCGGGUGGGGAAUAACAGCCGGAAACGGCUGCUAAUACCGCAUAAUGCAGCGGCACCACAUGGUGACAGCUGUUAAAGCGGGGGAUCGCAAGACCUCGCGCCUGAAGAGAAGCCUGCGGCAGAUUAGCUAGUUGGUAGGGUAAUGGCCUACCAAGGCUACGAUCU